GAUGAAGAACGCAGCGAAAUGCGAUAAGUAAUGCGAAUUGCAGAAUUCAGUGAGUCAUCGAAUCUUUGAACGCACAUUGCGCCCUGUGGUAUUCCGCAGGGCAUGCCUGUUCGAGCGUCAUUUCAACCCUCAAGCUCAGCUUGGUGUUGGGCCCUGCCCGCUGCGGCCGGCCCUAAAGACAGUGGCGGUGCCGCCUGGCCCUGAGCGUAGUACAUCUCUCGCUCCAGUGCCCGGUGGUAGCCUGCCAGAACCCCAACUCUCGUGGUUGACCUCGGAUCAGGUAGGGAUACCCGCUGAACUUAAGCAUAUCAAUAAGCGGAGGA
rnacentral:misc_RNA from 1 species